rnacentral:lncRNA from 1 species
UCGUAUGGGAUGAAAAAGCUCCGUCGACUGGACCAAUUCAAAAAGACAGAUAGGCAGAGGUAUUAGGGGAGGGGAGAUCGGAGAGCCGAAUAAAAAGAGGCAGACCUACGAAGGAAUUUUAGGGGGAGAGAGGUGAUUUCAUAUUUUUUGGAUCAGUAUUGGAUUUUGAGGGAUUUUCAAAGCUAGUGAUGUUCUUUGUGAUUUUAGAUUUUUGAAAAAUAAAACUGGUUUACAAAUUUUUAGAUUUCGUGAUUUUUGUAGCAUUUUUAUGGAUAAAAAUUUAGAGACUUAUUGGUAUGCUUGUUGUGAAUGUGUACAAGAGGUUUGAAGUCAAUCGAAUGGCUAGAUCGAUACAUAUGAAGGUUUUGUAAGCUAAGAUCUUGGAAUUUAGGAUUUUGAAGACCAAUAAGGUUUUCUUAGAUAUCUAGCAAUUUGUCAGUUGGAUUGGAGAGAUUUUUAGUUUUAUCACUAGAAGACUUGAUUUUCUAUAUGCAAGUAAAAUUUGGAAGCAAUCGAAUGGUGGAAAAAAGAGAUAUCGGCAUUGGAAGUUUGGCAUUAGAUUG